rnacentral:tRNA from 1 species
GGUUGUGUAGUGUAGCGGUUAUCACCUUGGAUUCUGACUUUCCAAUAACCCCGGUUCGAUUCCGGGCACGACCU